rnacentral:rRNA from 1 species
GAUGAACGCUGGCGGCGUGCCUAAUACAUGCAAGUCGAGCGAAUGGAUUAAGAGCUUGCUCUUAUGAAGUUAGCGGCGGACGGGUGAGUAACACGUGGGUAACCUGCCCAUAAGACUGGGAUAACUCCGGGAAACCGGGGCUAAUACCGGAUAACAUUUUGAACCGCAUGGUUCGAAAUUGAAAGGCGGCUUCGGCUGUCACUUAUGGAUGGACCCGCGUCGCAUUAGCUAGUUGGUGAGGUAACGGCUCACCAAGGCAACGAUGCGUAGCCGACCUGGGAGGGUGAACGGCCACACGGGGACUGCGCAACGGCCCAGACUCCUACGGGAGGCAGCAGUAGGGAAUCUUCCGCAAUGGACGAAAGUCUGACGGAGCAACGCCGCGUGAGUGAUGAAGGCUUUCGGGUCGUAAAACUCUGUUGUUAGGGAAGAACAAGUGCUAGUUGAAUAAGCCGGCACCUUGACGGUACCUAACCAGAAAGCCACGGCUAACUACGUGCCAGCAGCCGCAGUAA